AUUGAACGCUGGCGGCAGGCCUAACACAUGCAAGUCGAACGAGUGGCGGACGGGUGAGUAAUGUCUGGGAAACUGCCUGAUGGAGGGGGAUAACUACUGGAAACGGUAGCUAAUACCGCAUACCAUCGGAUGUGCCCAGAUGGGAUUAGCUAGUAGGGGGGGUAAAGGCUCACCUAGGCGACGAUCCCUAGCUGGUCUGAGAGGAUGACCAUCGACACGGGAACUGGGACACGGUCCAUACGCCUACGGUAGGCAUCAGUGGGGAAUAGUGGACAGUGGGCGCAAGUCUUAUGCAGCCAUGCCGCGUGUAUGAAGAAGGCCGUCGGGUUGGAAAGUACUUUCAGCGGGGAGGCGUUACCCGCAGAAGAAGCACCGGCUAACUCCGUGCCAGCAGCCGCGGUAAUUC
rnacentral:rRNA from 1 species